rnacentral:rRNA from 1 species
GCAUAUCAAUAAGCGGAGGAAAAGAAACCAACAGGGAUUGCCCCAGUAACGGCGAGUGAAGCGGCAACAGCUCAAAUUUGAAAUCUGGCCCAGGCCCGAGUUGUAAUUUGCAGAGGAUGCUUUUGGCGCGGUGCCUUCCGAGUUCCCUGGAACGGGACGCCAUAGAGGGUGAGAGCCCCGUACGGUUGGACACCAAGCCUUUGUAAAGCUCCUUCGACGAGUCGAGUAGUUUGGGAAUGCUGCUCUAAAUGGGAGGUACAUUUCUUCUAAAGCUAAAUAUUGGCCAGAGACCGAUAGCGCACAAGUAGAGUGAUCGAAAGAUGAAAAGCACUUUGAAAAGAGGGUUAAACAGCACGUGAAAUUGUUAAAAGGGAAGCGCUUGUGACCAGACUUGCGUCCGGUGAAUCACCCAGCUCUCGCGGCUGGGGCACUUCGCCGGCACAGGCCAGCAUCAGCUUGCCGUCGGGGACAAAAGCUUCAGGAACGUGGCUCCUCUCGGGGAGUGUUAUAGCCUGUUGCAUAAUACCCUUCGGCGGGCUGAGGUACGCGCUCCGCAAGGAUGCUGGCGUAAUGGUCAUCAGCGACCCGUCUUGAAACACGGACCAAGGAGUCAACCUUAUGUGCGAGUGUUUGGGUGUCAAACCCCUACGCGUAAUGAAAGUGAACGCAGGUGAGAGCUUCGGCGCAUCAUCGACCGAUCCUGAUGUUCUCGGAUGGAUUUGAGUAAGAGCAUAUAGGGUUGGACCCGAAAGAAGGUGAACUAUGCGUGUGUAGGGUGAAGCCAGAGGAAACUCUGGUGGAGGCUCGCAGCGGUUCUGACGUGCAAAUCGAUCGUCAAACAUGCGCAUGGGGGCGAAAGACUAAUCGAACCUUCUAGUAGCUGGUUUCCGCCGAAGUU